rnacentral:rRNA from 1 species
AUUGAACGCUGGCGGCAGGCCUAAAACAUGCAAGUCGAACGAGUGGCGGACGGGUGAGUAAUGUCUGGGAAACUGCACGAUGGAGGGGGAUAACUACAGGAAACGGUAGAUAAUAACGCAUACCAGCGAGUGUGCCCCGAUGGGAUUAGCUAGUAGUGGGGGUAACGGCUCACCUAGGCGACGACCCCUAGCUGGUCUGAGAGGAUGACCAGCCACACUGGAACUGAGACACGGUCCAUACUCCUACGGGAGGCAGCAGUGGGGAAUAUUGCACAAUGGGCGCAAGCCUGAUGCAGCCAUGCCGCGUGUAUGAAGAAGGCCUUCGGGUUGUAAAGUACUUUCAGCGAGGAGGCGUUACUCGCAGAAGAAGCACCGGCUAACUCCGUGCCAGCAGCCGCGGUAAUAC